rnacentral:lncRNA from 1 species
UCUAUGAUCCAUUUAUUUGCACAUAUCUCAAAAUGCUUCAUCUACGAUCCUUUAUUUGCAUAAAUCUCAAAAUGCUCAGUCCUAUCCACACAAAUCUUAAAGCAUCUAUCAUCCAUCAUCCAUCCAUUUGUAUAAAUCUUAAAGCAUGCUAUCCUCAACUAGUUAUCUACCUACGCAAAUCUUAAAGCAUCUCAUUCUCUAUAUCCAUUCGCUUGCACAAAUCUUGAAGCAUUUCUAGCCUCUAUCAUUUGUUUAUUUAUAUGAAUUUUGAAGUAAUCUAUCCUUUGUCAUUCAUCUGCUUGCAUAAAUCUUAAAGUGGUUCAUCCUUCAUUAUCCAUUCAUUU